rnacentral:rRNA from 1 species
GAUGAACGCUGGCGGCGUGCCUAAUACAUGCAAGUCGAGCGAACAGACGAGGAGCUUGCUCCUCUGACGUUAGCGGCGGACGGGUGAGUAACACGUGGAUAACCUACCUAUAAGACUGGGAUAACUUCGGGAAACCGGAGCUAAUACCGGAUAAUAUAUUGAACCGCAUGGUUCAAUAGUGAAAGACGGUUUUGCUGUCACUUAUAGAUGGAUCCGCGCCGCAUUAGCUAGUUGGUAAGGUAACGGCUUACCAAGGCGACGAUGCGUAGCCGACCUGAGAGGGUGGACCGCCAAACUGGAACUGAGACACGGUCCCGACUCCUACGGGAGGCAGCCAUAGGGAAUCUUCCGCAAUGGGCGAAAGCCUGACGGAGCAACGCCGCGUGGGUGAUGAAGGUCUUCGGAUCGUAAAACUCUGUUAAUAGGGAAGAACAAAUGUGUAAGUAAAUAUGCACGUCUUGACGGUACCUAAUCAGAAAGCCACGGCUAACUACGUG